UUGCUCACUCUUUCUUGCUUGGCUUGAAGAUGACUUGUGCGGAGGCUGAGCUCAUGAAGGUUGCAGAGCGUGUGGUUCCUUUGCAAGCUAGUUUGUAGCUGUGGACAUUGGAACAACCGUCAGAUUUUUUUUUUCCGACACUUGUUGGUUGAUAUCUUAUCAAAAUAGAAAAAGCAUCCACACAAUUGGGAACUACUGCCAAAGUUCCCGUUCCCGUUCGCAUAAUGGAAAAUAACAUAUAUAACUAUUCACGUGUUACAAAAGCAAAAUGUUGUUGAAAGUAAGGGUGAGUGUGAAAGGUUAGACUUCCCAAAUGGUGCGUAGCAUUGGCGAUACCAACAUAACUCACGAAAAGAAAAAUAAUCACAAGUCACAACUCAACAACAUAAGAUUUAAGCGCCAGGCAGCAUGACCUUAAUUAAGCUUCCUAACUCUGGAGUAGUAAUAGCAAAAUUCCAUUCCUUUUUUUGAGCAACUCUACGGUAGGGUUGUGCCGACCUGAACAUUGGUAUUAAUAAUUUUCCAUGCUUUUAUACUCAAUAAAAGGGUACUAUAACAUCAACAACCUCCACUAGAGCAUGUUCUAAAAGAGUGGAACAGUGAGUCCAUCUAUCUCUUGCCUACUGGUACAGGUCACUCCUAUGUAUCCAUCACACUGGACUUAUUCAGAACAAGACGAAAGUCAAAAAACCUAUGCCAUUUUCCCUUGAAAAAAUAUAAACAGAAUAAACUAUAGAUAUAUAAAAAAAGAAUAAACUAUAGAUAUAAAAGACACACAUAACCAAAUAGCUUGAAUAUACAAUGCAAGAAAAAAAUGGCAUACGCAGAUAAAAUGUAAGCAUGCCUAAUAAUACUAAUUUAUUAAUAGCUAUUUUGAAUACCAACAAGUUUGGACUGUCAUUUAUUAAUAGCUGAUUGUUUUUGUCUACUGCCUUCUUUUACUUCUAUAUACUCCAGAGCGAAUGAGCCACGGAGAAGCUCCGUCCGCUCCACAGUUCGCCACAUCGAAUGAACUCCCGAUUCCGUCCGAAGGAAUUCACAUGGACAUGAGUUGGGUUAGAUAAGGGCAGGCAAGGUCGGUCCUGGCAGACCCAAGAUUGAAACAAUAAUCAUCAUUAUUACUCCCUUCAUCCCAAAUUAU
rnacentral:lncRNA from 1 species